AAGUUUUGAUAUCUUUCUCAUUGAUAUCAAAUUGGGAAAAAUUAUGUAAGGUAGAUGGAAAUGAAGACUACAACAAACUGAAAUCAGUUCAGGGAAUCCGCUUUUACAUUAUGCUUUCUAUAAUCUUUUUACAUACAAAAUUAAGUUAUAGCAUGGUUUAUCUUUCAAAUACUUAAGAUAUUGGGAAGAUAAUUAGUAAUUCUUUGAUAGAAAAGCUAUGUAUUAUUGACGUUUUCUUGGUGCAGACGUUUUUUCUUAUAUCUUCCUGGAUUUUGACAUUCCAAAUAUACAAUAUUUAUAGAGAACAAAGGAAAUUUUCAGUAAAACAAGUCUUUUACUUUUGCGUUAAUAGAUAUUCUAGGCUUGGUGUAUGUUCCACAAUGAUGAUACUAAUAUUGCGAUCGUCUUUGUAUAGGUUAUUUGAAGGACCAGUGACGUUUGAUAACAAUUACGUAUUUCAAAAAACUUGUAAAGACAACUGGUGGCAAACGUUUUUCUUUUUAAAUAAUUAUUUAUACUUUAAAGAUUUGAGUCAUCCUCCAUCAUGGUACCUUUCAGUCGAUUUUCAGUUGUAUACUAUGGCAAUAGUUACAAUUUAUCUAAUUCUAAAAUUUAAAUUGAAGGAGUG